GGUGGCACAUUGGUUUAGAGUGUUUGGUUAACAACCAAAAGGUCAGUGGUUCGAAUCCACCAGCCA
rnacentral:tRNA from 1 species